UGUUAACGAUGAUGGCUUCUUCAUCAUCCUCAUCAUCUCCGGCUCCCAAUUUGUUGUAUCACGUCUUCCUGAGCUUCCGUGGUGAAAACGUGCGCAAAGGCUUUCUUAGUCAUGUUCUGAAAGAGUUCAAAAGCAAGGGAAUCAAUGUUUUCAUUGAUAACGAGAUCAAGCGAGGUGAAUCUGUCGGUCGCGAGCUUGUUAAAGCGAUCAGACAUUCAAGGGUUGCCGUUGUAUUGCUCUCCCCUAACUACGCUUCUUCAAGCUGGUGUCUAGGUGAGUUGGUGGAAAUCAUGAAGUGCAGGAAAGAGGUUGGUAGAACAGUGUUGACCAUUUUCUACCAAGUAGAUCCAUCUGAUGUUAGGAAACAAACGGGGGAUUUCGGAAAAGCCUUUGAUGAAACCUGUGUGGGGAAAACAGAAGAGGUGAAGCAGGUAUGGAGGCAAGCUUUGGAAGAUGUCGCUGGUAUAGCUGGCUACCACUCUAGCAACUGGGGCAGUGAAGCUGAUUUGAUCAACAAAGUCGCCUCAGAUGUCAUGGCUGGGUUGGGUUUUAGACUUCCAAAAGACUUUGAUGACUUUCUUGGCAUAGAAGCUCGUAUCACGGAGAUAAAAUCGAAGUUCAUACUACAAUCAGAACAAGUUAAGGUGAUUGGGAUUUUGGGUCCUCCCGGGAUAGGGAAGACGACCACUGCCAGAGUUUUAUACAACCAACUCUCUCCUGACUUCCCCUUCAGCACGUUUUUGGAGAAUAUCAGAGGUAGUUAUGAGAAGUCUCGUGGUAACGACUAUCGGUUGAAGUUGCGUUUGCAGAAAAACUUGUUGUCUCAAAUAUUCAACAAAGGGGACAUUGAGGUUCAUCACUUAAGAGGGGCUCCAAAAAUGCUGAGUGGCAAAAAGGUGUUGGUUGUUUUUGAUGAAGUUGAUAACUGGUGGCAACUAGAGGAAAUGGCUAAUCAGCCUGGAUGGGUUGGUCCCCGAAGUAUUAUUAUUAUUACAACCGAAGAUAGAAAACUUCUCAAGGCACUUGGACUUGGCAGCGAUCAUAUCUACAGGAUGAAAUGUCCAACUAGAGAUGAGUCUCUGCAGAUCUUCUGCCAACAUGCUUUCGGUCAAAAGUCUCCAGAUCAUGGUUUCGAAAGGCUUGCUAGGGAAAUUACUUGGCUUGCUGGUUAUAUUCCUCUAGGCCUGAGAGUUAUGGGAUCUUGUCUAAGAGGAAUGUCCAGGGACAAGUGGAAUGAGGCACUACGAUGGCUCCGGUCUACCUGUGACAGAGAAAUUGAAUCAAUUCUAAGAUUUAGCUACGACGCCUUGGGAGAAAAUGAAAGAACUCUUUUUCUGCAUUUAGCAUGUUUCUUUGCUGGUUUCAGCAUUGAGCAGGUCAAAAGGUAUUUUGCAAACCGUAGUUUGGAAGUCAAUCAUGGGCUUGAAGUUGUAGCUCAAAAAUCUCUUAUAUCUAUAGUCAAGGGAUGCGUAGAAAUGCAUAGUUUACUGGAACAAAUGGGUAGAGAAAUUGUCAAGAAACAGUAUUUGGAAGAGCCUGGAAAGAGACAGUUCUUGAUGGAUGCCAAGGAUAUUUCUGAUGCGCUUGAUCAAGAUACUGUUACUGGAAAUGUUCUAGGCAUAGAGAUAUCAUCUUGCAAAUAUGCGGUGUUACCAGGUGAAGAAGUGCCUGCACACUUCACUCACCGAGCCAGUUCAAGUUCCUUAACGAUCACUUCGACACCAAGACCUCUUCCUUCAUCCUUCAGAUUCCAAGCUUGUAUCUUGGUGUCAGAGGUAUAUGAUCAUCUUGUGUUUAGCAAACGUAUGUCUUAUUCCGUCAGGGCUAAACAGAAUGGCCUCACAGUCGGAAGUAGGUCAAACAUGAUCCUUAUUCCAGGUCUGUAUAGGCCAGAUCUAUUUGUACAUGGAGAGUAUCUGUAUAUAUUUGAAGAUGAUUUCACUCUAAACCAGGAUUGCCCUGAAGCCGAAGAAACCACUUUCAGCGAUUUUACUUUUGUGUUCAGAGUCCAUGAUGAAAACUGCAAGGUCAAAGGCUGCGGUGUACAACUUUUCGAGUUCAACCUUUGUAUUCUUGAAAGAAAAGAAACUUACAACCAAGACUGUAUGGGCAUAAACAUAGAGUCAACCAAUGAACGUGCAGGUGGUGAGGAUGGAGAUGAAGAUGAGGAUUAUGAUGCGGAUGAUAGUGGUAAUGGUGGUGAGGAAGAUGAUGAUGAUGAUGAUGAUGAAGAUCAUGUUGAUGAUGACGAAGGUGGUGAUGAUGAUAAUAAUAAAGUUGUGGAGAAUGAUGAUGUGAUGCCACAUUCUUCUGAUUCUCUUUCUAAUCAAUCCUCCCCAUUUAGUCGUGGAACACCAUCUUCAGGAGGACCCAUCAGGCAUAUGCCACCGCAUCCUUCAGCAAUUCCUCAAUACUCAUCUAACCCAUAUGCUUCUCUACCACCAAGGACAUCUACAGUUCAAACUUUCGGAUACAACCAGGGAGGUGCAGGUACCACUGAACAACAACAGAGUGGUCCAUCCAUUGAUCCUCAGUCAGGUACCGGAAUGACCUCUUACCCUCCCCCAAUUUCAAUGCAAUCUGGUUAUAGUAGGCCAUUCUAUGGAAGUCCUAUGCACCAAGGAGGUGAUAAGCAGCAGCAGAACAUGUUGCCGGUUCCUCAGUCACUCAAUCCACACUCCAUUCUUCAACAAAUGCAGCUUUCACGACCACAACGCCCUAUGCAGCCUCCUCAGCAUGUUAGACCAUCCAUGCAGAUAUCUCAGCCGACAGACCAAGGAGUAUCAUUGCAAAACCAGUAUCAGAUUCCAUUGCAUCCGAUGCAGAUGAUGCAACAGACGCAAGUCCAGCCUUACUAUCACCCACCUCAACAACAAGAGAUCUCUUAUCGGUUUCCUUUCCAUCCCAUGCAAAUGAGGCAACAGACUCAAGUCCAGCCGUACUAUCUCCCACCUCAACAACAAGAGAUCUCUUAUCAGAUUCCACUGCAUCCUAUGCAGAUGAUGCCACAGACGCAAGUCCAGCCGUACUAUCACCCACCUCAACAACAAGAUAUCUCUCAUGUGCAGCAACAGCAACCACAGCAACAAGCUGUUCAAGGUCAGCAAGGAGCUGGGAUUACUUCCCGUCGCAGAACCCAUUCAGGCUUUAUUAGGUAACCGCGAGAAGCUGUGUGAGCUUCUGGAACAGGAUCCAAAGCUAAUGCAAAUGCUUCAGGAAAAACUAGGGCAGCUGUGAGAAGAAAGAGCCACUACUCAACAAAUAUAUAUCUAUCCCUCCCUGGCUUAUUAGUUUCUUUUUGUUCAUAUGAUGUUUAACAUACAAAUAUAACAUGUACAUUUGUUUCAGUUUGAUAUGUCGAGAGACUAAGAGCUGUAAAUUCCCGUUUGUUGUUUGUUUAGUUGAAAAACCCGGGCACAAUCAAUCUAGGAUUUUAUUCAGUUAGGUCUGUAUUCAUCCCUGUAC